UUCUGAAUAGCAGCAGCAGGGUUGGGUUCCGAGCUUCUUUCUGCUUCUCCGGCCUCCCGGCCAUCCGGCAGAUAUAUCUCAUUCAAGAGAUUAAAAGCAGUUUCUCCUCGAAGCCUGUCACGAGCUAUUUUCACCCUGAGUUGUUGCCUGGACCGGGAACGAUGUUGCUGAGUUCCUCAUCCUGCCUUGCCAAACAGUUCCCUGCAGGAGCUUCACCCCAUGGGAUGAAUUACCCAAGGAGACCCAGCGGUGUGCCUCCUCCACUGGUCACCAGAAAUAUAUAUGUUACCGCCAGAGACAAGCUUUGGAAUUUCUUCACUGGGUUACCGUCACGUGCUUUUCGUGACCCUUCCCAUAUAACCAAUUGAUGGUCAGAUAACAGCAUGUUAAUUUACUUCCAUUAUUUGUUCAACUUGUACUUGUCAGUAUUGUCUUAGAUUAGUUGCAUCCGUACGUUAGGUUGAGGGUAGUUUAGUAUCUUGACAAAACUAUGAAGUUUCAUGGAGCACGGUAUCUUGAUGGUGAUGGCAAAAACAACGGAAAAUGCGUAUGUACGUAAUGGCACUUGCUAGAACUCGUGUAUAUCAAUUGUAACUUGUGGAAUCAAUCACCUGCUGAAGGCAAAAAUGCAUUAUUCUGCUAUGUUUUGCGCAUGUGGCUCGCAUUUUUUAGGAGAGAG